rnacentral:rRNA from 1 species
CUACGGGGGGCAGCAGUGAGGAAUAUUGGACAAUGGGGGCAACCCUGAUCCAGCCAUGCCGCGUGAGUGAAGAAGGCCUUAGGGUUGUAAAGCUCUUUCAAUGGUGAAGAUAAUGACGGUAGCCAUACAAGAAGCCCCGGCUAAAUUCGUGCCAGCAGGCCGCGGUAAUACGAAUGGGGCAAGCGUUGUUCGGAAUCACUGGGCUUAAAGCGUGCGCAGGCGGUUAUGAAAGUCAGAAGUGAAAUCCCAGGGCUCAACCCUGGAACUGCUUUUGAAACUCCAUAGCUAGAAUCCGGGAGAGGUUGGGAGAAUUCCUAGUGUAGAGGUGAAAUUCGCAGAUAUUAGGAGGAAUACCAGUGGCGUAGGCGCCCAACUGGACCGGUAUUGACGCUCAUGUACGAAAGCGUGGGGAGCAAACAGGAUUAGAUACCCUAGUAGUC